rnacentral:rRNA from 1 species
AUUGGGACUGAGAUACGGCCCAGACUCCUACGGGAGGCAGCAGUGGGGAAUAUUGCACAAUGGGCGCAAGCCUGAUGCAGCGACGCCGCGUGCGGGAUGACGGCCUUCGGGUUGUAAACCGCUUUUGACUGGGAGCAAGCCCUUCGGGGUGAGUGUACCUUUCGAAUAAGCACCGGCUAACUACGUGCCAGCAGCCGCGGUAAUACGUAGGGUGCAAGCGUUAUCCGGAAUUAUUGGGCGUAAAGGGCUCGUAGGCGGUUCGUCGCGUCCGGUGUGAAAGUCCAUCGCUUAACGGUGGAUCCGCGCCGGGUACGGGCGGGCUUGAGUGCGGUAGGGGAGACUGGAAUUCCCGGUGUAACGGUGGAAUGUGUAGAUAUCGGGAAGAACACCAAUGGCGAAGGCAGGUCUCUGGGCCGUCACUGACGCUGAGGAGCGAAAGCGUGGGGAGCGAACAGGAUUAGAUACCCUGGUAGUCCACGCCGUAAACGGUGGAUGCUGGAUGUGGGGACCAUUCCACGGUCUCCGUGUCGGAGCCAACGCGUUAAGCAUCCCGCCUGGGGAGUACGGCCGCAAGGCUAAAACUCAAAGAAAUUGACGGGGGCCCGCACAAGCGGCGGAGCAUGCGGAUUAAUUCGAUGCAACGCGAAGAACCUUACCUGGGCUUGACAUGUUCCCGACAGCCGUAGAGAUACGGUCUCCCUUCGGGGCGGGUUCACAGGUGGUGCAUGGUCGUCGUCAGCUCGUGUCGUGAGAUGUUGGGUUAAGUCCCGCAACGAGCGCAACCCUCGCCCUGUGUUGCCAGCACGUCGUGGUGGGAACUCACGGGGGACCGCCGGGGUCAACUCGGAGGAAGGUGGGGAUGACGUCAGAUCAUCAUGCCCCUUACGUCCAGGGCUUCACGCAUGCUACAAUGGCCGGUACAACGGGAUGCGACACCGCGAGGUGGAGCGGAUCCCUUAAAACCGGUCUCAGUUCGGAUUGGAGUCUGCAACCCGACUCCAUGAAGGCGGAGUCGCUAGUAAUCGCGGAUCAGCAACGCCGCGGUGAAUGCGUUCCCGGGCCUUGUACACACCGCCCGUCAAGUCAUGAAAGUGGGUAGCACCCGAAGCCGGUGGCCCAACCUUUUGGGGGGAGCCGUCUAAGGUGAGACUCGUGAUUGGGACUAAGUCGUAACAAGGUAGCCGUACCGGAAGGUGCGGCUG